rnacentral:rRNA from 1 species
GUGACUAAAGCGCCGGGGAAACACCUCUUCCCUUCCCGAACAGAGAAGUUAAGACCGGUUGCGCCGAUGGUACUGCAAUGUGUGGGAGAGCAGGUAAUCGCCUGUA